AAAACAUUCAAUUUCUUUCUCUGCAGAGAUGAAGUGGAAUCUUUCUUCAAUCUGGAGUCUCUAAUUUCAUCAAAGCAAAGGUGAAAACAAAUACAUAUAAGACAGCCCUGAAAUCCAAAUAUAGAGGAAACAAGAAGCUGAAAGUAGAAAGAACAAGAAGCUGAAUACAGUAGAGAAGUACAGAGCAAUAGGUACGCGCAGAGAAAUUCAGAGCAACAAGUAUGCAGAUUGCAAAAAAUGCAGACCAACAGGUUGUUGGUGGUUGCAUUUUCAUCAUGAUCGGAAGAUGAAAAUAGAAAUUACCCUUAUCAAUGAUAGAAAUUACCCUAAUACCUGCUAUGUCUUCGUCAUUAUCACAAGAUGUAGAAAGACUUUUUU